rnacentral:rRNA from 1 species
GAUGAACGCUGGCGGCGUGCCUAAUACAUGCAAGUCGAACGAACAGACGAGGAGCUUGCUCCUCUGACGUUAUCGGCGGACGGGUGAGGAACACAUGGAUAACCUACCUAUAAGACUGGGGUGACUUCGGCAAACCGUAUCUAAGACCGGAUAAUAUAUUGAACCUCGUUGGUCAAUCGUGGAAUACGGUUUUGCGGUCACUUAUAGAUGGAUCCGGGCAGCAUUAGCUAGUUGGUAAGGUAACGGCUUACCAAGGCAACGAUGCGAAGACGACCUGAGAGCGACAUCGGACAGACGGGCACUGAGAAUGGGCAGCGACACUUACGGUAGGACGCAGUAGGGACUCUUACGCGAUGGACGAAAGCCUGACGGAGCACCGUCGCGUGAGUGAUGAAGCUCCUAUGAUGGUAAAACUAUGUUAUCAGUGAAGAACAAAUGCGUAAUUACCUAUGAAGGUCUUGACGGUACCUAAUCAGAAAGCCCCGGCUAACUCCGUG